UACGUAGGGUGCGAGCGUUAAUCGGAAUUACUGGGCGUAAAGCGUGCGCAGGCGGUUUUGUAAGCCAGAUGUGAAAUCCCCGGGCUUAACCUGGGAAUGGCAUUUGGGACUGCAAGGCUUGAGUGCGGCAGAGGAGACUGGAAUUCCCGGUGUAACAGUAAAAUGCGUAGAUAUCGGGAGGAAUACCGAUGGCGAAGGCAGGUCUCUGGGCUGACACUGACGCUCAUGCACGAAAGCGUGGGGAGCAAACAGG
rnacentral:rRNA from 1 species